GGCGAGCGUGGACCGAGAGGUUCCUCAGGACCUCCUGGAGAUAAUGGUUUAGGCUUCCCCGGUCCAAAGGUAUGGUUUGAGGGUUGCUGUGUGUUUCUGCUGCUCAAUGCAAUCCAUCUUCAGUUUCUCUCUGUUUCUGUUAGGGCAACAAAGGGAACCAGGGCAGACCGGGACCACAUGGAGCCCCGGGUGGAGGAGAACCGGGCCUACAAGGACCUCCAGGACCUCUUGGGAUUCAAGGCUCUCCAGGCCUGCCUGGUGAAGGUCUGCAAGGACCAAAGGGAGAGCGGGGCUACGAAGGCCUCAAAGGCAGCCGUGGAGCUCCAGGACCCGGCACCAAAGGUGAUAAGGGAAACACAGGAGUUCCUGGACUGCCAGGAAUGCUGGGCUUCCCGGGCCCCGGCCUCCAAGGAGAGAAGGGGGAGCAGGGACCAAUUGGUCCCUCAGGUCCCAGAGGCCCUUCAGGACUGGGCACGACUGGAAGCAAGGGGGAUCAGGGUUUCCCCGGAGAGCCCGGAGCUCCAGGAGAGAGGGGUGUGGGUGAACCGGGAUCAAAGGUAAGCAGAUGCCUCCAUCAAAGCAGAUGGGAGCCGGGCUCUUAUAGGCUGACGUGUGAGUUCUGUUCCAGGGUGAGCCCGGACCUGAUGGAGCUGCUGGGAUACCUGGCAUUCCUGGAGAAGAUGGAGCUGUGGG
rnacentral:lncRNA from 1 species